CUCGACGGUUGUGCUGUGUUUUAAGAAAAUAUAUGCUUUUUAACAACGACCAUGUGCAUCAAGAAAGCUUUUUUUCACAUUUGGUGGAAGUGGUGGGAUCAUUCCUCUAGCCGAGUGGAGGGGACCCACAUUUCGACAUUGUUCAAGGAGUUUCAUGGUGGACCGCAGUGAAGUGUGAGCAGGUAGACGAAGAGACCUGCUGGGAGAGGAGAUCACUGGUGGAGUUGAACUGCUGUCCUGUGGGGAUGGCCAAAGCCUGAAGGAGGAAUAGCUCGGGAACUCCUUGUUGCUGACGUGAGCCAUGUGGGGAGCUAUUGCCAAGCCUUGGCAGAGCAGCAGUGGCGGAGGACAACUGUGAAGAGUGCAGUGUUUGGCCAAGAAGGAGUGAUCUUGGAAUGAAGAUUGGCGGUCACCAGAGAGACUUUUUGAGCUGUUUAUUUAGCACAAAUGACUGUCUUGCACAAUAUUUUACCUUUUUUAUCUAAUGCGCUUGAAACUGUUUGCAAGCUUAAAAGAGGGGGAAGGUAAUGUGAAGAUGUGAAUGGCAUCUUCACUGGUUUCAACAUGUUUUAAAAGAUUCACGUGCUCCUGUCUGGCUGGUUAGCCGUGAUAGUCUGCAUCUGUGGCUCAUAGGCUAAUUGAGCCACACCCAUUCUGGUGCUCCUUAAGAGGGCCAGAGUUUUAGACUGGAGAGGCUUGAGUUGUGCAAGUGACUCGACGGUUGUGCUGUGUUUUAAAGGUUGGGUAUGGGAUUUGCGAAACGCCAGCAGAUUUUGAAAAUACACAACUCGAAUGAUCCUACCCCCUCUCCUUCAACGCUGACUCUGACUCCACCCAUUCCAAGCACAUGGACGCGCAAUCAUGCACGAGCGAACACAGAUGAGCCAUUAGCUAGUUAGCUAGCUCCAGUAGCUACCGCAGGAUAACAAAAAACAGAAGCUUACUCUGGGUCACGAGCUUUGAGAAUGUGCACGAAGGGGUCGAGCGGGGGAGGGGGAGUGCAGUACGACCGUUUGAUUGACGUACUUACUGUCCAAUGCCACUCUGUGGGUCUGGAAAUCAUUGGCUGGAGUUUUUCAAGCCCUGCCCUGAUGUAUCUUUCUUCUUGAACAUGUUAUAUGAACACAAUAUUCUGAACACUGCCCGAAAUGAUUUGAUUCUUGGUUCCUGUGAUAGGAGAGACGCUGUGAUGAGGUAGCCUACUACAGUAGGCCUAUGCAGUUGACGUUGCUUGCAUGUUUGAGUUAUAUUUAGAGGUUAAUUUACCGUACAUAACCUAGAAGAGGAUUUAUCAUGAACAGUGCACUUCAGUCAGAAACUAAUCUAAAGAUAAAUGAUUUAGCCGGCUUUUACUCCAAACCACAGCUCACUCGUUCACUUUACAAUGGUACAAGUCAGAGCUGCCGUAAAUGUUUUGUUUUUUUUUUGGUGUAAAAUAGGUUCCACUGGCUGGGAAAUAUGCACAUAUUCCAUGGUGUUUUUUGAAGGCAAGCCGCAAUUAAGACAGUGGAACUUUAAGAAAUUAAUUACAUUUUUAAUCAA